UGAUCUAUAGUUUAAAGUAAAAUACUUGGCUUCGGACCAGGUGAUGGGUGUACCCUGGAUUAA
rnacentral:tRNA from 1 species